GUCGAGCUUAGUAACGCAAGCUUGUGGUCCGAGUGGAGACAAUAAGGUGAUGGGACGUUGUCCUAACUUGCCUGGGAAUGGUUUGGUGAUAGAUAUCUGCUGGCCCAAGUUUAAAGGAGUUCGGUUUGCCGCAACGGCAUGGCGUUAGUCUCCUGGCCCGAGUUUAAAGGAGUUCGGUUGGCCGCAAUGGCCUGCCGUUAGUCUCCUAGAGCCGAAGGAAUAUUGGACCAGUGACCUCUAAACCAACUAGACCUGGUAUGUCAGUUUAAAUUGGACCAUCACUUUU
rnacentral:SRP_RNA from 1 species